rnacentral:snRNA from 1 species
GGCUCCCCAUUCGACCCGUCU